UAUACAUAGGGUUAUUAUAAA
rnacentral:piRNA from 1 species